rnacentral:lncRNA from 1 species
UUUCUUUGCCGUUUUCGCUUUUGCAUAUUUUCUUUUCCAGCAGCUUAGGCAUUGUUUCUUUAUUAUUUUUACGAGUUCUACACUAUUUCCCUUGCAAUUUCUAUUUUCCUUUUUAGCAUUUAGUUAAUUCUUUUCGCACAAUAGUUUCUACACCGGAAACUAUUGUGUACCUUUUUACCGGAUCUAACCUUACGUUAGAAUCUAGUUUUUAUUUCCUUCGUUUUAAUUUGUUGUUUAAUUGAAGAAUCCAAGAACAAAUCCUACCG